CGGGUCGCGCGGGGAGGAUGACGCGGCCGGUAAAGCCCGAGGUUUCGGGACGUAGGCGCGGCGCGUGCGCGGUGGGCCACGACCUUCUUGGAAAGCGCUUGGCGCCAGGUGGCCGCGGGCGGGAGGCUGGCGCCCCUCGAGACGUCAUCGCGGGGGGGUUCCCGGAGGAAGCUGGCGGGGCGGAAGCGGGCGGGUGAAUGAGCUGCGAAGUCGGCGUGGGCGGCCUGGGCCUUCGCCCCCAACGAGCUCAGGCCUGAUGUGCGCGGGGGACCCACACUGGCUCUGCGGGGCGUGAAGGUGCCUGUCCCCGGCGCUGAGGUCGCCUGCCCCGUGCGUCCCGCAGGUCCUCCAGGACCUCAGGCCCCGCCUGGGCGGCGCGGGUUGGGGGGCGCAGGCCCACCGUCCGGAUGGGCCUCACAGGAUCUCUGGGCUCAGGGAGAGGAGGGGAGAGCCCCCACCUUCACCCAAGAGAAGGCCUGCGGAGGAGCCCCCGCCUCAGGCUGCCCUCCCCACCCCAACCCCCCGGGCGAGGUCGGGUCUGACCUUUUUACCAGGAGCUGAGUCUUCCUUUGUCCUUUCAGAAACCGGUGGAGGAGAAUGAGCCUCAGACAGAGCAGGGGGUGUCCAGCAGCCCCCAUUCCUCGUUGUGAUCCGACCCCCAUGCUCUCCUCGCACCCUGAUUGUCCUGCAGGCCAGCCUGGUCAAAUCUCCCUCUGGUCGUGGACUAGAAAUGAGAGGGUCCAAGGGAGCACUCAGGCGUGGGGGGGGGGGGCUCAAGGCCUCAGGACCCUCGAGUACCCAUCCGGUGUCCCUCUCAGACACCAGUUAUGGUGGCCGAACCAGGCAGGCCUCCUCCAUGGCGAGGCCCUCCUGCGAGCCCUGCCCCUCCCACCUCAUGCUCCCCAUGGCUCCCCAUCAGCACAUCUCUCCUUAGGGCAGGGGGUGGCUGGCAAAUGGCCCUGUGGAGAGCAGGCAGGGGGCCCCGGCCUGACCCCCGUGCCCGCCGCCGCAGGUGAACUGCACCCUAGCUCAGCUGCUGACUAGAUAACAGUGGCCCUUGUCCACCGCAGCGGGAGAGGCUGGGGUGCCAGCCCCGGGUGUCUCCGGCAGAGAAUGGCACCCACCCCCACCCCACCCGCAGGCAUAUUGUCCAUUCACCCUCCACCCCCACUAUUAAUAGCUCCUCUCGGCAGAGGAGCCGCUAUAAAUAGCCCCCCAGCCCCCCACACAGGCCCAUUUGGGGCUUUGCCUCGGGGCACACACAGUCACCCACACACCCUGCACACUGGCCCACUCAGCCGCAUGCCCGGGCGCUGGGCCCACUCCUGGCCGGCUCCACGGCCAGGCGCACAGAGGGCUGCUCGGAGCGCCCAGCUGUUCUCAACUUGGGCUGUUGCCACACCCCACGGGGCCCCCCGCAGCAGGGCUGGCAGGGCUGUUGUUUCCCUCCGCGAGGCCAAUCGGCCAAGGGGCCUGCUGCAGGCAUUCUGGCCCUUCCCUCCUGCAGGGCCUGGCACCCCUGGUCCACUCCUGUGGCCUGGGCUCAGGAGCUCUGGGCCAGCAGAGGCCCUCUCUGCUCCUCUGGGGAGCAGGCAGCUCCUCCAGCCAGCCUGGAGGGACAGCCACCCGGAGGCAGGUCCGCCUCCCAGGAGGCCCAGCCCUGGGUGGUCUCAGCCCUGCCUCCCCGUGCAGCCCUGAGGGUCACAGGGCCUGCCAAACCCAGUGGGGCACAUGCUUGGCACCCCCCCCACGCACCCUGGCUCUCUGGCUCUCGUGGACCCCAAGGCUGGUCAGGCCGCCCACCUGUCCGUGGGGUGGGCACCACUGAAUUCAUGGCCCCUGCUUGUCCUGGGGCCUCCUCAAAGGCGGCCAGGCCAUUCCCCCCAUUCCCACAGUGGCAGGGUGGCCACUGGUCCCUACAGGAUCCUGUUGUGCCCAUGGCCGGGCUGGGGGGCUUGGAGACCGCUGUUAUUGUGCCAAGAGGAGAAAGAAAACAACCCUGUUUACGGAAAAGGCGCGUCCGCCGCUGUUGGCCGGCGGCCUCCCCGGGGGACAGAGGCCCUUUGUUGGGAAAACAGGAAGCCGGGACUUCCAGGACCCGUCGGGCCACCCGCCGGCCACCCGCCCGGCUUCCGCCAAUUCUCAGCAGCUUUUGCCCGUCGCCAGCUGCCUGUCUGUCCAUCUCCUCGUCUGUAGGGUCCUCUGAGCUGGAGGCCCUGGCUUCAGCUUUGGGGCAAAGCUGCGGUCGCUUCAGGGGGUCACCUGGAGGCUGCUCUGUCCCCCACGGUGUGCCCCGUCACACAGGGACUGGCCCCCGAGAAGCACCCCUGGCUGCCUGGCUUCAGGCAGAGCUGGGAGCACAGCAGGCCCCGCCAGGCCCUCUGUAGCCACGGGCCCCGCGGAAGCCUCAGCGAUCAGCCACGGGCACGUGUGGGGCUGUCAGCUCAGGGGCACCCCCCCACCCCCCGAGGGUAGCCUCCGCCCUAAGACCCCAGGGGCACAGAGAAGGGUGGGGAGGAUGUGGGAAAGGCCCCAAAGGGCCCAGUGGGGUCUUGGGGUCAGUGGUCACCAUGUCGCUGUCUCCCAGGCCGACGUGCAGCCUCUGGCUCACAUGCUGCUCACUCGCUGGACAGCUCCACUGCAGGGACGUGUGCACAGGCGAGUGCUCACACGCACAUACGUGCUCAUGCAGGCACACACAUCCACACGCGUGUUGCCACCUGCUCGUGUUUGCACAGGCAUGGACCAGUGGGCCCUGAUCAGCAGCACGGCCACGGCCACCGCGGCCCCGCCCCUCCCCCAGCUCCUGGCCACAUCUGCUGGAGGAGAGCGGAGGCGCAGCUGGCUCACCCCAACCCACCCCGGGUGGCCGAGCUGGGCCCUGGGAGUCGUCCUGCCGGGUGCAGCUGUGAAGUGCCACAGGGUGCCUGGCGCUGGGCGGGAGCUGGGCCAGCACUGUGGCAGGGUGACCGGUCCCCAACCCCGACCCAGCAUGAAAGCACCCCUCCCUGGCCCAGGGCUUCUCUGCCUGGUCCCUGGCCUGCCAGGCAGAGUGCAGUCGCCGUGAGCUCAGUCCUCUGUGGUGGGUGUGGGUGGCUCCGGCAGGCCUGGGGCCGGGGUCUCGGGCCCGUCGGGGGUUGGGGGGAGCGAGGGCACAGGGCCCUGCGGGGCCAGAAAGCCCUUGUGUCACCCAGCUGCUGCUCCUCUGCCUGCCUGGCCUGCCCUCCGUCCACAUGCGCACCUGUGUCCCUGGGAUGGGCGGCAUGCCAUGCUGUCCAAAGGGGGUGGGCCCUGGCUGGUCAAGCCCUGUGCCCACGUCCUGACACCGCAGCUUCCUCAGGCUGCUGCUGGGAGAGUUUGGACUCCACCUAAGCUGCUCUGGGGAUUCUGUCCUUUCUUUUGCUCAGCUGUCGAAGGAGGGGACGCUGAGGGGCUCAUACCCUGGACUGAUGGGCGGCUGGACACCAGUGACGUCCCUGGCCCUGAGGCCAGGUCUGCCCUGCCAGGAAAAGCCCUGUGGGAGGACUGGGGUGGGGGCGGGGGUGCUGUUUGAACUCCCGUGGGGGAGGCAGAGAGGCAAGGGGUCCCAGCCCUGACCAGGUGGCCCUCACGCAGCUCUGGCCCUGGCACAUGGGACUCAGUCAGGGCCGAGGGACAGUUCGGGGCACAGAAGACAGCUGGGGACCCGGGGCUGGGCGUCCCUCCAGAAGACGCCUGGCCUUCGCCUGCUUUCCCUCUGUGGCCCACUUUGGUCUCCAGGGGAGGUCUGACGGGGGGAGACACAGAUUUGGGUCACUGGGUGGGGAUGAGGGGACAGUCAGUCAGAGGCCUGGGCCUGGGCCUGAGGCAUGAGCCUGCCAAGUUAGAGGCCAGCAGAGGGUCAGGCGGAGCUGGGCGGGGAGGGGCCUGGCGGGGGCCGAUCUGGGAGCACGAGGCUCUGCCCUGUGAGCUGGGAGUCCGGUGGGUUCUGUGCAGAGGGUCGUGACUUGACCGGGCUCAGGGGACCCUCUGCUGCAUCAAGCGGGGCUGGGGCGGGGGUGCUGCUCUGAAAGUCCCUGCCUGGCACGAGGGCCCCGCGGUUCAGGUCAGAGGGCCAGGUUCAAGGUGGGGACUUCCGUUUGGGCCUGUGGCCCAUGGUCUGGGUCCAGUGUCGUGAGCUCUAUGUCUAGUCCUCAGCAUGUCGCCAUGGGCAGGAUCUCGCGGGCAUGCUGCCAGCCCACAGCCUGCUGCGGCCCGCUUGGCAGCGACGCCCUGGCCAGCCAGCCCGAGGUCUGGGCUUCGGGUGACUCUGCUUCAGGGAUGCCUCAGGAGGAACCCCAAGUUCAUGUGUCCACCUGUCCAUGCAUCCAGCCACCUGCGCACUGCAGACCAGAGCCUCUCCAGAAAAGUUUGUCUCGUGCAAAUAAGUGAAUAAACCCACCCGUCUGGCUUGCCGCUGCCCUGCACCCCCGCGCCCCUGACUGCACUCCUGAAGUGGGAACUCCUGCCUGAAUGACCAAUGACGGCGGACAGAAAAGAACACUUGACCAAACCGGCAGCCACACCCCCUCACCAGAGGCUUCUGCAGGGUCCCAGCCUCCCACCACCUGUUCAGUGAUGCCUCGGCCGAGCCUGCGGCCGUCCAGUCACUGCCAGGAGCUGCUGCCUGUGUGGGUCCAGCCUGGUGGCCACGUGGAAUUGGGUGAGGACGGUCACCCACAGGUCAGGGCUGCAGGGGUGGCAGCAGCCUCUGCCACCUCGUCACCUGCCCAGAUCAGGGCGCCUCGUACGGCACGGCUGGGGUGCAGCUCCCGCUUGGCGGCCCCACCGUGAGAGCCCCCCCUCACAGGCUGAGCCUCGUCCCGGGGUUGCCCCAGCCGCCUGGAUGUCCAGCCCAUUACACCUGCAGGGGCUGGAGGCCCUCAGGUCGGCGGCCUUACCUGGGCCCUGCCCCCCAUCGCCCUGCUCUCACAGGGCCCUGACGACUUCAGGUCUCCGGGAACCAACGCCGGCCCAGACCCUGUGUCUUCUCCCCCAGGUACCUCGCUGGAGGCAGGUGGGGCUGCGACGUCCCCCCACCCCCGCGGCUGCACCAGCCACUUCGUCAUUGGUGAAGCCACCACUAUGUCCCCCAGUCCCUGGCUGGGAGGUGGAGCUGACCGGGGGAGGGACACUGGCAGGACAGGACGCAGUGGGGAGGGGCACUGGGGUCAUCCAGGUGGGACAGGACAGUGACAGUGACAAGGACGGGUUGGGCGAUGAGCCCUGGGAGGAUUGCAGAUCCCUCCCUCCGGGGUUCACGCCUCGUGCCCUCCCCUCCCCUCCCUCAGCGCUGGGCACUGAAAACGCUGGGCGGGGGGGGACAGCAAAUCAAGGCCACCCUGAGACCCCCCCCACUCACGCCCGCUGGGAUGGCAAAUGACCAAACACAUGGACAUGACCCAGUGUUGGGAAGACGGAGGAAAACCGUCGCCUCGUGCACUGCUGAUGGGAGUGUCCUUAGGAUGUGGGCUUGAGUCCCACCUGACCCAUGAUUCCCUUCUGGGGUGUGUAAGCAAGGUCUGGACAGACACUUGCACGCCCAUGUGCAAGGUGGCGUGACUCACAGCAGACAAAGGUGGAAGAACCCACCUUUUAUAGGUGGAUAAAGCAAAUGCGGUCGAUACGCACAGAGGAAUACUACUCAGCCUGGAAAAGGAAGGGCCUCCUGACACAACUGUCUGAGGCGACAAGGUGCGUGAGCCCUGCGGCUGGGAUGUGGAGCGGAGCUGGCAGGCACAAGAAGCCACGUGCUGCGUGAUCCCACCUCUGCGAGGUCCCUGGAGGGGUUGACUCAGACAGAAAGUGGGAGGACGGAUGCCAGGGGCUGGCGGAGGGGGAUGGGGACGGAAUUUCACGGGAACAAAGAUUCAGUUUGGGAAGAUGAGAAAGUUCUGGAGACGAUGGUGGAGGUGGUCCCACAAGAGCACGAAGGGACUUAGCGCCGCUGGGCCGUCCACUUACUUAGUGGUUGAUCAGCAAGUGCUGCGGAUAUUUCACUCAGUGAAACAAAAACGGAGUGAGUCUGGCGCGGGUUUCACCGCCGAGGUAGGAGUUGUGGACGAAAGAUGUUGCUGCCACAUCAGUGAAGAGAGGCUGCUGCAGCCAUCAAGCCCUCACGUCACAGCCUCCCCGCCGGUGCCCCCCCCUCCCCCCCGGCGGGGACUCAGGACAGGAGAGCACAGGACACGGCCUGAGAGCCCAGGGGCACGUCAAAGCCUUGGCUUCCGUGCGCCAGACUCCUGCACUCCGCUCCCUGGAGAGGCCUGGUUUUCUGUAAUGAACACUCAGCUUUUCAUGUUUCGCCUCCACGUUUUUUUCCCUUCUUUUUUUGGCUGCCCCGCUGCACAGGGAGUUCCUGGGCCAGGGAUCAGAUCUGAGCUACAAGUGCGACCUGCAUCGCAGCUGGGACAACACCGGGUCCUUUACUCCACUGCGUGGGGCUGGGGUUCGAACCGAGAUCCGAGUGCUGCAGAGACACCACUGAGCCGGUGGCACCGCACUGGCAGCGCCAGGCCACCUGGCUUCUGCUGCGGAACCCCCUCUACCUUGGGCCUCCGUGACCUCUCGGGAGCCGUCCCUCGGAAUGGCCUGAGAGGCUGCCUCCCGGGAUGGGGGUAUCCAGAAAGUCUUCCAAAUAAAACAGAAUUCAAACA